UCAUCGGGUUAGCAAUAAUUCGGUGGUCCUAGUGGCGCACGGGUGAGUAACACGUGGGUGACCUGCCCUUGAGUUCGGGAUACCCCCUCGAAAGGGGGGCUAAUACCGGAUACGUUCCCCGGUCGAGAGGCUGGGGAGGAAAGGUGGCGCAAGCUGCCGCUCUUGGAGGGGCUCGCGGCCUAUCAGCUAGUUGGCGGGGUAACGGCCCACCAAGGCUAUGACGGGUAGCUGGUCUGAGAGGACGACCAGCCACACGGGGACUGAGACACGGCCCCGACUCCUACGGGAGGCAGCAGUGGGGAAUUUUCCGCAAUGGGCGAAAGCCUGACGGAGUGACGCCGCGUGGGGGACGAAGGCCUUCGGGUCGUAAACCCCUGUCAGUGGGAAAGAUGGGUGUCGGCGCUAAUACCGCCGGCAUCUGACGGUACCUGCAGAGGAAGCCCCGGCCAACUCUGUGCCAGCAGCCGCAGUAAGACAGAGGGGGCAAGCGUUGCUCGGAAUUACUGGGCGUAAAGGGCGCGUAGGCGGGAUGGCAAGUCGGUCGUGAAAUCCCUCGGCUCAACCGAGGAACGUCGAUCGAUACUGCUGUUCUUGAGGAUUGCAGAGGAGACUGGAAUUCCCGGUGUAGCGGUGAAAUGUGUAGAG
rnacentral:rRNA from 1 species